UACGGAGGGAGCUAGCGUUGUUCGGAAUUACUGGGCGUAAAGCGCGCGUAGGCGGCUUUGUGAGUUAGAGGUGAAAGCCCGGAGCUCAACUCCGGAACUGCCUUUAAGACUGCAUCGCUUGAAUCCAGGAGAGGUGAGUGGAAUUCCGAGUGUAGAGGUGAAAUUCGUAGAUAUUCGGAAGAACACCAGUGGCGAAGGCGGCUCACUGGACUGGUAUUGACGCUGAGGUGCGAAAGCGUGGGGAGCAAACAGG
rnacentral:rRNA from 1 species